UGAUCACCAGCUUCAGGUAUCUUCUGUCUGU
rnacentral:piRNA from 1 species